UACUACUUGGAUAACCGUGGUAAUUCUAGAGCUAAUACAUGCUAAAAAUCCCGACUUCGGAAGGGAUGUAUUUAUUAGAUUAAAAACCAAUGCCCUUUGGGCUCCUUGGUGAUUCAUAAUAACUUUUCGAAUCGCAUGGCCUUGCGCCGGCGAUGGUUCAUUCAAAUUUCUUCCCUAUCAACUUUCGAUGUUUGGGUAUUGGCCAAACAUGGUCGCAACGGGUAACGGAGGGUUAGGGCUCGACCCCGGAGAAGGAGCCUGAGAAACGGCUACUACAUCCAAGGAAGGCAGCAGGCGCGCAAAUUACCCAAUCCCGAUUCGGGGAGGUAGUGACAAUAAAUACUGAUACAGGGCUCUUUUGGGUCUUGUAAUUGGAAUGAGUACAAUUUAAAUCUCUUAACGAGGAACAAUUGGAGGGCAAGUCUGGUGCCAGCAGCCGCGGUAAUUCCAGCUCCAAUAGCGUAUAUUAAAGUUGUUGUGGUUAAAAAGCUCGUAGUUGAACCUUGGGCCUGGCUGGCCGGUCCGCCUCACCGCGUGUACUGGUCCGGCCGGGCCUUUCCCUCUGUGGAACCUCAUGCCCUUCACUGGGUGUGGCGGGGAAACAGGACUUUUACUUUGAAAAAAUUAGAGUGCUCCAGGCAGGCCUAUGCUCGAAUACAUUAGCAUGGAAUAAUAAAAUAGGACGUGUGGUUCUAUUUUGUUGGUUUCUAGGACCGCCGUAAUGAUUAAUAGGGACAGUCGGGGGCAUCAGUAUUCAAUUGUCAGAGGUGAAAUUCUUGGAUUUAUUGAAGACUAACUACUGCGAAAGCAUUUGCCAAGGAUGUUUUCAUUAAUCAGGAACGAAAGUUAGGGGAUCGAAGACGAUCAGAUACCGUCGUAGU
rnacentral:rRNA from 1 species